CUUCUCGUAUGGGAAAAAAGUAACUACGCGUCGUUAACUAUAUGAACGGAUAAAGCAACCGGAGAAAAAGUAAUGCGUCAAGUUACGGUAUUUAUUGGUACGGGUAUACAUUACAGGUUCGAUGGGAGGCCGACGGGAAAAAAAACUAAACUCUGAAGUUACACGGAAAUUUAAGUUUUUGUAAUUUUUUUUUUGAACCGCACAUAAUAGUUAAUCAUAUCGUAAUGAUGAAUACACAUUAAAUACGAGAAUACUAUUGAAG